UCAAUCAGUGCCAUCGUAUUAUUUGACGAC
rnacentral:piRNA from 1 species